GACAACGAUGAUGAGUAAAUACAGACCUGUAAUGAUUUGCGAAUAUGAUCGCAGAUUUAUUGAACAUCUAAGGGACUGAGUUGUU